GCCAGCAGCCAUAUCAUCCUAUAGCUCACAACUGGUAACCACUGAAGUUAAGCAGGUGUGAGCCUGGUCAGUACCUGGAUGAGAGACCUCCUGGGAAAAAAUGAAAGUUGUUGCUGGAA
rnacentral:rRNA from 1 species